UGGUCCUGUAGUUCAGAUGGUAAAACAAAGGUCUGCAAAACCUUUUUUCGGUAGUUCAAAUCUACCUGGGACC
rnacentral:tRNA from 1 species